AUUGAACGCUGGCGGCAGGCCUAACACAUGCAAGUCGAGCGGCAGCGGGAAAGUAGCUUGCUACUUUUGCCGGCGAGCGGCGGACGGGUGAGUAAUGCCUGGGAAAUUGCCCAGUCGAGGGGGAUAACAGUUGGAAACGACUGCUAAUACCGCAUACGCCCUACGGGGGAAAGCAGGGGACCUUCGGGCCUUGCGCGAUUGGAUAUGCCCAGGUGGGAUUAGCUAGUUGGUGAGGUAAUGGCUCACCAAGGCGACGAUCCCUAGCUGGUCUGAGAGGAUGAUCAGCCACACUGGAACUGAGACACGGUCCAGACUCCUACGGGAGGCAGCAGUGGGGAAUAUUGCACAAUGGGGGAAACCCUGAUGCAGCCAUGCCGCGUGUGUGAAGAAGGCCUUCGGGUUGUAAAGCACUUUCAGCGAGGAGGAAAGGUUGAUGCCUAAUACGUAUCAACUGUGACGUUACUCGCAGAAUAAGCACCGGCUAACUCUGUGCCAGCCGCCGCAGUAAUAC
rnacentral:rRNA from 1 species